rnacentral:tRNA from 1 species
GGCAACUUGGCCGAGCGGUUAUGGCGCCAGUUUCAGGUACUGGUUCGAAAGAGCGUGGGUUCGAAUCCCACAGUUGUCA